rnacentral:rRNA from 1 species
AUUGAACGCUGGCGGCAGGCCUAACACAUGCAAGUCGAGCGGAUGAAGGGAGCUUGCUCCUGGAUUCAGCGGCGGACGGGUGAGUAAUGCCUAGGAAUCUGCCUGGUAGUGGGGGAUAACGUCCGGAAACGGGCGCUAAUACCGCAUACGUCCUGAGGGAGAAAGUGGGGGAUCUUCGGACCUCACGCUAUCAGAUGAGCCUAGGUCGGAUUAGCUAGUUGGUGGGGUAAAGGCCUACCAAGGCGACGAUCCGUAACUGGUCUGAGAGGAUGAUCAGUCACACUGGAACUGAGACACGGCCCAGACUCCUACGGGAGGCAGCAGUGGGGAAUAUUGGACAAUGGGCGAAAGCCUGAUCCAGCCAUGCCGCGUGUGUGAAGAAGGUCUUCGGAUUGUAAAGCACUUUAAGUUGGGAGGAAGGGCAGUAAGUUAAUACCUUGCUGUUUUGACGUUACCAACAGAAUAGGCACCGGCUAACUUCGUG